rnacentral:rRNA from 1 species
UGGGGAAUCUUCCGCAAUGGACGAAAGUCUGACGGAGCAACGCCGCGUGAGUGAUGACGGCCUUCGGGUUGUAAAGCUCUGUUAAUCGGGACGAAAGGCCUUCUUGCGAAUAGUUAGAAGGAUUGACGGUACCGGAAUAGAAAGCCACGGCUAACUACGUGCCAGCAGCCGCGGUAAUACGUAGGUGGCAAGCGUUGUCCGGAAUUAUUGGGCGUAAAGCGCGCGCAGGCGGAUUGGUCAGUCUGUCUUAAAAGUUCGGGGCUUAACCCCGUGAUGGGAUGGAAACUGCCAAUCUAGAGUAUCGGAGAGGAAAGUGGAAUUCCUAGUGUAGCGGUGAAAUGCGUAGAUAUUAGGAAGAACACCAGUGGCGAAGGCGACUUUCUGGACGAAAACUGACGCUGAGGCGCGAAAGCCAGGGGAGCGAACGGGACUAGAUACCCCGGUAGUCCUGGCCGUAAACGAUGGGUACUAGGUGUAGGAGGUAUCGACCCCUUCUGUGCCGGAGUUAACGCAAUAAGUACCCCGCCUGGGGAGUACGACCGCAAGGUUG